CCUACGGGUGUCAGCAGUGGGGAAUAUUGCACAAUGGGGGAAACCCUGAUGCAGCGACGCCGCGUGAGUGAAGAAGUAAUUCGUUAUGUAAAGCUCUAUCAGCAGGGAAGAAAAUGACGGUACCUGAGUAAGAAGCCCCGGCUAACUACGUGCCAGCAGCCGCGGUAAUACGUAGGGGGCAAGCGGUAUCCGGCUUCACUGGGGGUAAAGGGAGCGUAGACGGCAGUGCAAGUCUGGAGUGAAAGGCGGGGGCUCAACCCCCGGACUGCUCUUGAAACUGGACGGCUGGAGUGCAGGAGGGGUAAGUGGAAGUCCUGGUGUAGCGGUGAAAUGCGGAGAUAUUAGGAGGAACACCAGUGGCGAAGGCGGGUUACUGGACUGUAACUGACGUUGAGGCUCGAAAGCGUGGGGAGCAAACAGGAUUAGAUACCCUAGUAGGC
rnacentral:rRNA from 1 species